rnacentral:rRNA from 1 species
CUUAGCGGCGGACGGGUGAGUAAUGCUUAGGAAUCUGCCUAUUAGUGGGGGACAACAUUUCGAAAGGAAUGCUAAUACCGCAUACGUCCUACGGGAGAAAGCAGGGGAUCUUCGGACCUUGCGCUAAUAGAUGAGCCUAAGUCGGAUUAGCUAGUUGGUGGGGUAAAGGCCUACCAAGGCGACGAUCUGUAGCGGGUCUGAGAGGAUGAUCCGCCACACUGGGACUGAGACACGGCCCAGACUCCUACGGGAGGCAGCAGUGGGGAAUAUUGGACAAUGGGCGCAAGCCUGAUCCAGCCAUGCCGCGUGUGUGAAGAAGGCCUUAUGGUUGUAAAGCACUUUAAGCGAGGAGGAGGCUACUUUAGAUAAUACCUAGAGAUAGUGGACGUUACUCGCAGAAUAAGCACCGGCUAACUCUGUGCCAGCAGCCGCGGUAAUACAGAGGGUGCAAGCGUUAAUCGGAUUUACUGGGCGUAAAGCGCGCGUAGGCGGCUAAUUAAGUCAAAUGUGAAAUCCCCGAGCUUAACUUGGGAAUUGCAUUCGAUACUGGUUAGCUAGAGUGUGGGAGAGGAUGGUAGAAUUCCAGGUGUAGCGGUGAAAUGCGUAGAGAUCUGGAGGAAUACCGAUGGCGAAGGCAGCCAUCUGGCCUAACACUGACGCUGAGGUGCGAAAGCAUGGGGAGCAAACAGGAUUAGAUACCCUGGUAGUCCAUGCCGUAAACGAUGUCUACUAGCCGUUGGGGCCUUUGAGGCUUUAGUGGCGCAGCUAACGCGAUAAGUAGACCGCCUGGGGAGUACGGUCGCAAGACUAAAACUCAAAUGAAUUGACGGGGGCCCGCACAAGCGGUGGAGCAUGUGGUUUAAUUCGAUGCAACGCGAAGAACCUUACCUGGCCUUGACAUAGUAAGAACUUUCCAGAGAUGGAUUGGUGCCUUCGGGAACUUACAUACAGGUGCUGCAUGGCUGUCGUCAGCUCGUGUCGUGAGAUGUUGGGUUAAGUCCCGCAACGAGCGCAACCCUUUUCCUUAUUUGCCAGCGAGUAAUGUCGGGAACUUUAAGGAUACUGCCAGUGACAAACUGGAAGGAAGGCGGGGGACGACGUCAAGUCAUCAUGGCCCUUACGGCCAGGGCUACACACGUGCUACAAUGGUCGGGACAAAGGGUUG